CGGCCAUCGGUGCAGCCGUUUGCGGUGUCUCACCCUUAGGAUGGGACUCUCACCUCUACCUCUCUUUCCAUGGAGGUCUUGGCCGCCGGUGAUCGGCCAAUGACCGAAAAAUAAAAAGAAAAAGGGCGGAUCUCCUGUUUUCUCGAAAACUUUUCUCCCAUCGAUCGAGCCUUGCUGCCAGCGAUCCCUUACUCUUCGUUGUCGGCCGUCGC
rnacentral:lncRNA from 1 species